AUCAUCUGUAUAUAAAAGUGCAGUAAUCCAUGACAGUAAUCAGCGACUUCACCCACAGCAACCAUGAGUUUGAUCAGCGUCUUCAUCUGCACACUGGCCCUCUGCGCUCGAGGAUCCAGAGGUCAGGUGACUGUGACUCAGAGUCCUGCAGUGAAACCUGUUUCUCCAGGAGACACACUCACCAUCAGCUGUAAAACCAGCUCUGAUGUUUACCGCUGGAGUGAUGGAGAUGAAGAUAUAUUCUGGUAUCAGCAGAAAGCUGGAGAAGCUCCUAAACUCCUGAUAAGAUAUGUGAAGAAGUUACAGUCAGGUAUUCCAGCUCGUUUCAGUGGCAGUGGAUCUGGAUCUGAUUUCACUCUGACCAUCAGUGGAGUCCAGACUGAAGAUGCUGGAGAUUAUUACUGUCAGAGUUAUCAUGAGAUCAGUGGUAGCUGGGUGUUCACACAGUGUUAGAGCGUCAUACAAAAACCUGUGUGAGUGUGACUGCUGCAGCUGGGACCUACUGCAGGUGCUGAGGGGGACGAUGUGAUACAGCACAAUCACACACACACACACACACACACACACACACACACAAUCACACACACACACAAUCACACACAC